GGCCUAACCCUCCCUCCGAUCACAAAAGUUUGGUCCCAGCUUUAAAGUCUAUUCCCCCUUAACUUACACAUGCAAGCCUCCCCACCCCAGUGAGCACACCCCCUUCCCGGGGGCGGUAUCAGGCACAAUAACCCGCCCAAGACACCUAACAACAGUCACACCCACAAGGGCCACAGCAGUGAUCAAUAUUGAACAUGAGUGCCAACUCGACUCAGUUAAAGUAGGCAGGGCCGGCCAAGUUGGUGCCAGCCGCCGCGGUUACACCAAGAGACCCAAAUUGACUUUUCCCGGCGUAAAGCGUGAUUAAAGUUAAAACAAACUGAAGUCAAAUCUUAACUAAGCGGUAACAUGCCUGUUCUUGAGAAGCCCACAAACGAAAGUUACUUCAAUCUUUACAACUUGAACCCACGAUAGCCGGAGCACAAACUAGGAUUAGAUACCCUACUAUGUCCGACCCUAAACUUUUAAUUACACCCUAUCGCCAAGGAACUACGAGCAAUGCUUAAAACCUAAAGGACUUGACGGUACCCCAUAUCCCCCUAGAGGAGCCUGUCCUACAAUUGAUUUUCCCCGCUUAACCUCACCGUUUCUAGCUCAUCAGCUUGUAUACUUCCGUCCUAGCCUACCGUGUGAACGACUAGUGGGCCCAAACGUCCUCGAACCAGCACAUCAGGUCAAAGUGCAGCAAAUGAAACGGAAAGUGAUGGGCUACAUUUUCUAAUCUAGAAAACACGAAUAGUCAUAUGCAAUCUGACUGGAAGGCGGAUUUAGCAGUAAAAAGAAAAUAGAGCGUUCUUUUUAACACGGCACUGGGGUGUGUACACACCGCCCGUCACCCUCCUCAAAUACAACCACAGUAAUUCACAAAUAAGAUAACAAAGAGGAGGCAAGUCGUAACAUGGUAAGCACACCGGAAGGUGAGCUUGGAAACGAAAUA
rnacentral:ncRNA from 1 species